GUUUGAUCCUGGCUCAGGAUGAACGCUAGCGGCAGGCUUAAUACAUGCAAGUCGAACGGGAUUCGGGGUAGCAAUACUUUGAUGAGAGUGGCGCACGGGUGCGUAACGCGUAUGCAACCUACCUUUAACAGGGGAAUAGCCCCGAGAAAUCGGGAUUAAUACUCCGUAACAUUGCGGUGUGGCAUCACACUGCACUUAAAGCUGAGGCGGUUAAAGAUGGGCAUGCGUGACAUUAGCUAGUUGGUGAGGUAACGGCUCACCAAGGCAACGAUGUCUAGGGGUCCUGAGAGGGUUAUCCCCCACACUGGUACUGAGACACGGACCAGACUCCUACGGGAGGCAGCAGUAAGGAAUAUUGGUCAAUGGGCGCAAGCCUGAACCAGCCAUGCCGCGUGCAGGAAGACGGCCCUAUGGGUUGUAAACUGCUUUUGUCAGGGAAUAAACCCCCGCUCGUGAGCGGGGCUGAAGGUACCUGAAGAAUAAGCAUCGGCUAACUCCGUGCCAGCAGCCGCGGUAAUACGGAGGAUGCAAGCGUUAUCCGGAUUCAUUGGGUUUAAAGGGUGCGCAGGCGGAUUGGUAAGUCAGGGGUGAAAUCCCACAGCUCAACUGUGGAACUGCCUUUGAUACUGUCAGUCUAGAGUAUAGUUGAAGUUGGCGGAAUGUGUCAUGUAGCGGUGAAAUGCUUAGAUAUGACACAGAACACCGAUCGCGAAGGCAGCUAGCUAAGCUAUAACUGACGCUCAUGCACGAAAGCGUGGGGAUCAAACAGGAUUAGAUACCCUGGUAGUCCACGCUGUAAACGAUGAUUACUCGAUGUUGGCGAUACACAGUCAGCGUCUGAGCGAAAGCAAUAAGUAAUCCACCUGGGGAGUACGAUCGCAAGAUUGAAACUCAAAGGAAUUGACGGGGGCCCGCACAAGCGGAGGAGCAUGUGGUUUAAUUCGAUGAUACGCGAGGAACCCUUACCUGGGCUCGAACGUAAGAUGACUG
rnacentral:rRNA from 1 species